rnacentral:rRNA from 1 species
AGCGAACGCUGGCGGCAGGCUUAACACAUGCAAGUCGAGCGGGCCUUUCGGGGUCAGCGGCGGACGGGUGAGUAAAGCGUGGGAACGUGCCCUCUGGUUCGGAAUAACUCAGGGAAACUUGAGCUAAUACCGGAUACGCCCUUUUGGGGAAAGGCUUGCUGCCGGAGGAUCGGCCCGCGUCUGAUUAGCUAGUUGGUGAGGUAACGGCUAACCAAGGCGACGAUCAGUAGCUGGUCUGAGAGGAUGAUCAGCCACACUGGGACUGAGACACGGCCCAGACUCCUACGGGAGGCAGCGGUGGGGAAUAUUGGACAAUGGGCGCAAGCCUGAUCCAGCCAUGCCGCGUGAGUGAUGAAGGCCUUAGGGUUGUAAAGCUCUUUUAUCCGGGACGAUAAUGACGGUACCGAAGGAAUAAGCCCCGGCUAACUUCGUG